GAUGAACGCUGGCGGCGUGCCUAAUACAUGCAAGUCGAGCGAACGGACGAGAAGCUUGCUUCUCUGAUGUUAGCGGCGGACGGGUGAGUAACACGUGGAUAACCUACCUAUAAGACUGGGAUAACUUCGGGAAACCGGAGCUAAUACCGGAUAAUAUUUUGAACCGCAUGGUUCAAAAGUGAAAGACGGUCUUGCUGUCACUUAUAGAUGGAUCCGCGCUGCAUUAGCUAGUUGGUAAGGUAACGGCUUACCAAGGCAACGAUGCAUAGCCGACCUGAGAGGGUGAUCGGCCACACUUGAACUGAGACACGGUCCAGACUCCUACGGGAGGCAGCAGUAGGGAAUCUUCCGCAAUGGGCGAAUGCCUGACGGAGCAACGCCGCGUGAGUGAUGCAGGUCUUCGGAUCGUAAAACUCUGUUAUUAGAGAAGAACAUAUGUGUAAGUAACUGUGCACAUCUUGACGGUACCUAAUCAGAAAGCCACGGCUAACUACGUG
rnacentral:rRNA from 1 species